UUGCUCUCUGUUUUGUCUGCUCUCAGUGUGUUGACUUGUUGUCCUUUUUUACAACCCCAUUCUUUGCUCACAAUGCAUUCAUUGACAAUCUACUUCAUUUAUUAACUUUUAUGAAAAUAUUUUCUUUAAAUUUGGAAAUUAGUUUAUGAUAUUUUUUGGUGUCUCAUUUUGUGUCUUCUGGUGAAUGUUUGUAUGGCUAUUUUAUUUUCUUUUAUCUUCUCUCAUUUACACAUCGUGAGAAAUGUAAAAUUUGGGUAUUUUUGUCUCAUUUAUAUCUCUUUUUUUUUUUUUUUUAAAUCGGAAUGGAGAUGCUUGUGGGACCUUCCCUGUGCUUUCACUUUCUUUUUUCGCAAAAGGAAAGAAAGAAUCCAUUAGUAUUUUUGCCAUGCGCAGAAAAACCUUGCGACAUAUGUGGUGAUCUUGGUUAUAGCGAGUUAAUUAUAACUUGCACUAAUUGUGGAAUAGCUCGACAGCAUGUUUAUUGCAUGCGGGUAUGUCGCCACGAAGUCCCUGAAGUUUGGAUUUGUGAAGACUGUAUACCAGAGGAAGGCACAUUUGGUAGAAAUGAAAAUUUUAAGGACUCCUGCAUUACAGUCCGCCAUGAUGUGGCGAUAGGGGGAGGAUCCGCCAAAGUUUAUGGUGAUUCAGGAUGGCAUAGGGCUAGGCAUUGUAAAAGGCUAAAGCCUGUAGAAACUGGCAAAGUGAAGUUUCUUUCUACUGAAGAAGUAAUUAAGCUGUCAUCUGGAGCUGCAAAAACGGCAUUUUCUUCAAAGGCUAAUUUAGGAUACAGACCUAAUUCUUCUUCUGCUGUCUCUCCUGUAAAGUUGAAACCAAACCCAAGAAUUAUCUCUUCAGGUCUUAUGAAGCCUCCAGGAUUUGGUAGAAUCCAAGUCGAUUCAUCAACUAGUCAACAGGCACCCAUAAUAUCCAAAGAGAAAAAGCCUAUUGCCAAUCCUGUGAAGGAACAUGAUUGCAAGGCUGCAAGCAGUUCAUUGAAGGAAAAAUUUUGCCUGGAACAGAAAAUGACUUCCAUCAGGCCUGAUGAAGAAGUCAAAACUAGCAAGGCCAAUUUGCUUGCAAAAGUAGUAAAAAAUUGCUAUAGCAAUGGGGCUGUUAAAGAAGUGAACACUUGCAAUGCAAAUGCACAGGAAGAUGCAAAUAAACAGUUAGGUACAUGUUCAACCUCCACAAAGUAUCCUCCAAUUAUGGGCAGUGACAGUUGUCCUGUUGCUGAAUUUAAGACGACUGAUGAAUUAAGAAGUCCAAGUACAAAAAUUCUUCUGCCUAAUCUUCGUUCUUAUUUCCCUUCUCUGUGUGCCACUUGGAAGGGAGGCUUCAAGUUUUUUGAUACUACAGCCCCCGGUAAAUAUUAUGGUGGGUUCCAGGCUCAGCCUCCAUGCAUAGUAAAUCGGAAAGCUUAUGACUUUUCACAAACAAUGCCUAUAGUCCUUCAAGUUGAGCUGCUUCCACAGCACCGUGUUUGGGAAGAUCUAUUCCAGAAUGAUUAUCCAGAUUUUCGUGACAUUGCACUUUAUUUCCUCCCUUCUGCUAUUAUUCAGAGAUCCAAAGAUAACUGUGCUAGCUUGUUCAAACUUAUGGAAAUCCGAAACUCUGUUAUGAGAAGUUGCAUUAAUGAUGUGGAGUUGAUUAUAUUCACAUCAAACCUGCUUCAUGGAGACUUGCAAACUUUGGGGGCUCUUGAAAGAAUAUCAAUAGAUAACAAUCGGAGAGUACAAUAUUUUUAGGUUUACAUGAGUAGUUGUGUACAUUGAGAGGGCACUAUCUUAUCCUCAUUGUGUUUCUACUUUCUGAAGUAUUCAUCUCUAAAAAGGACAACUUAUUAAAGCUUGGUGUUAUUGAAAGGUCAAGUGCAGAACAUUUCUUAUUGGGAGUUUUUCGUCAUGUAAAAAGUGAUACAAUUCCUCUGCAGCAUCAUUUUGCCAGCAAGGAAUGUAGUGAGACUGUUGAUAUGGAAAUUGACAUGGAAGGUGGGCAGGCUUUGGGGAGAGUUGAUGUGGUUGUUGCAAAAGAACCGCACCACUUGCAAAGCUCAGCAGUGAAGUUAUCUGAUGCUGCAGAUAAGGCUGGUGACAAUUCCCCUGGUUUUCGAAGACAUGUCGAGCCAUAAAUUCCGGAGGGAGUCCCAAAUGGGAAACUUUGCUCUUCAGGUAUAAAUUUGUAUUUGAUACAACAGAAUUUUCCAUCAUAGGUUGAGUACCAAGUUACUAGUUUAAACAGAGCAACAUGUGAGAGUCCUCAUCAGUCUUAGUUGGAAUUAGCCCUCCAGAGCACAGCAUGGAACUUGAAUGGAGGAAAAAACUUGUGGAUACACAUUUGGAGAAAUGGAAGAUCUAAUUGAUUUUGCUCCUUGACGUGGCUUUAAAGGUACAGUAUACGUUAACAUGGCUUCAAAUGUACAUUGACAUAUUUUGUAAGUAUGCUAAUUGACACGGUUCUGUACGUUCAGAGUAAAUGAAAAUAUUACAAAAGUUAACUAGCACUAA